GACGAACGCUGGCGGCGUGCUUAACACAUGCAAGUCGAACGAUGAAGCCGGAGCUUGCUCUGGUGAAUUAGUGGCGAACGGGUGAGUAACACGUGAGUAACCUGCCCUUGACUCUGGGAUAACUGCGGGAAACUGUAGCUAAUACCGGAUACGACACCCGGAGGCAUCACCUGGGGGUGGAAAGAAUUUCGGUCAAGGAUGGACUCGCGGCCUAUCAGCUAGUUAGUGAGGUAAAGGCUCACCAAGGCGACGACGGGUAGCCGGCCUGAGAGGGUGACCGGCCACACUGGGACUGAGACACGGCCCAGACGCCUACGGGAGGCAGCAGUGGGGAAUAUUGCACAAUGGGCGCAAGCCUGAUGCAGCAACGCCGCGUGAGGGAUGACGGCCUUCGGGUUGUAAACCUCUCUUAGCAGGGAAGAAGCGAAAGUGACGGUACCUGCAGAAAAAGCACCGGCUAACUACGUGCCAGCCGCCGCAGUAA
rnacentral:rRNA from 1 species